CGUGUAGUGUGGGGCCGCCCAGGUACUACAAGGGAUGAGGAGGAAGACUUGGGGUACCAGGAAGGAUCUAUCACAGUCUCUCUCAGCCCCGACUCCGCGUACAUCUCGCCUCCCGCCUCACAUCACACCAACACAAACCUUGGUGCGGUGAUGGAAGGGGCAGUGGCAGGGGAUGAUGGCUGUUUUUCACACCUCUACCAUACUCGCCAGCACACCUCCAGACGACCGAUGCCAACACAAGCAAGUCCCGACUCCUGGUACUAGGGCGGGAAACAAGAGUAACGUCAGCGUGAAGUUCACCUCAACACCAAUUGACUUUCAACUCUUGACGGACAAGUGCAGUGUUCACAAGCAAGCGAUGACGUUAUUCCAGCCCGCAGCGCGUCACUUUGGUCAUUGGGAGUCAUAAGCAGCCACUAAUCCGCUCUGCACCUGAUCAACCAGCUAAGACACCUUCAAGUUGGAGAGAGAGAGAGUUGCCUGCUACAGAGUUGCCUGCUACAGAGAGUUGCCUGCUACAGAGAGUUGCCUGCUAUAGAGAGUUGCCUGCUACAGAGAGGGGUGUGGUGAUAGCGCAGGUGAUGAGAUGGUGAGGGUAGUGAUGCUGAUUUGUUCUAGCCCUUAUGAAUCAGUAUUAUAUAAAUAUGGGCUAAGGACAUAUAUUCAUUGUAUACAUUCUAUCACCCAGACUAUUGAGCAUAA